CCCCCACGUUCGGAUUGCAGGNUGAAAUUCGCCUGUAUGAAGCCGGAAUUGCUAGUAAUCGCGGAUCAGCAUGCCGCGGUGAAUACGUUCCCGGGCCUUGUACACACCGCCCGUCACACCAUGAGAGUCGGGAACACCCGAAGUCCGUAGCCUAACCGCAAGGGGGGCGCGGCCGAAGGUGGGUUCGAUAAUUGGGGUGAAGUCGUAACAAGGUAUC
rnacentral:rRNA from 1 species